UACGUAGGGGGCAAGCGUUGUCCGGAUUUACUGGGCGUAAAGAGCGUGUAGGCGGCCAGGUAGGUCAGCUGUGAAAACUCGAGGCUUAACCUCGAGACGCCGGCUGAAACCCUCUGGCUAGAGUCCGGAAGAGGAGAGCGGAAUUCCUGGUGUAGCGGUGAAAUGCGCAGAUAUCAGGAAGAACACCCGUGGCGAAGGCGGCUCUCUGGGACGGUACUGACGCUGAGACGCGAAAGCGUGGGGAGCGAACAGG
rnacentral:rRNA from 1 species